rnacentral:rRNA from 1 species
GACGAACGCUGGCGGCGUGCCUAAUACAUGCAAGUCGAACGCUUCUUUCCUCCCGAGUGCUUGCACUCAAUUGGAAAGAGGAGUGGCGGACGGGUGAGUAACACGUGGGUAACCUACCCAUCAGAGGGGGAUGACACUUGGAAACAGGUGCUAAUACCGCAUAACAGUUUAUGCCGCAUGGCAUAAGAGUGAAAGGCGCUUUCGGGUGUCGCUGAUGGAUGGACCCGCGGUGCAUUAGCUAGUUGGUGAGGUAACGGCUCACCAAGGCCACGAUGCAUAGCCGACCUGAGAGGGUGAUCGGCCACACUGGGACUGAGACACGGCCCAGACUCCUACGGGAGGCAGCAGUAGGGAAUCUUCGGCAAUGGACGAAAGUCUGACCGAGCAACGCCGCGUGAGUGAAGAAGGUUUUCGGAUCGUAAAACUCUGUUGUUAGAGAAGAACAAGGACGUUAGUAACUGAACGUCCCCUGACGGUAUCUAACCAGAAAGCCACAGCUAACUACGUG